GAGAGGUCUGUGGAGAUGGUGACUGUGCAGGGUGGAAGAAACUACCGUCGUUCGAGGCACGGGGGGUAUAUAAUAGGCGGCCGGAGGAGAGGUGGGGAGGGGAGAGGAGAGGGACAGAGACGAAUAGAGAGACACAGGGAGGAUGGAGGGGUGGGCUAGGUGAUUGUGUUAGAGCGAGGCAGAGCGAGGAACGGAGGGUUCAGACGAGGUCAGGUCACGGGACGAGCUGCUGUGCUCGGUCGAUAGAACGAAGCAACCACCUAUGCUCGCACACCAUGCUGGCUAUGGCGAAUAAACUCGUGUACGUGUGUUUACGUGUGCACAACAUAGUCUCGAACGUUCGACCUCACGUGUGGCCGUUUCCCGCACUUCCUCGUCCGGUCUGCUCGCCUCGUGGAAGACCUCGAUAAGGUCGCAUUAAGGAUUCAGGAAUGGCACGACGACGACGACGACGACGACGACGGCGCAGCAUCGCGAGAACACGCGAGCCGAGGCGAGUUGGAGACGGUCCAAGAUGAGUUGGUGCCAGAUGUGGAAAAAAGAAAGCUCAAGAAGCGCGAUGGAAACGGAUGAAUGCCUGUUAGGCAACCGGUAAACGAUCGAUACCACGUUAACGUGCCAUUUGUACCAUUUCUUCUUCUUCUUCUUCUUCUUCUUCUUUUUUUUUUGGCACGCGUGUUUUAUUUAGGGAUUGAAAUAGCGGCGAAGUAUCUUACGUUUCGUUUUUACUUUUCGACAAAAAUGAUUUACUUUAUCUUUUGGUCUAUUUAUAUCGCUCAAAUAUACGUUAUCUUUUUAUGUAAGGAGUAGAUAGAUACAUGAUUUUACAUUUAUUUAUUUUGUAUCGUUUUAAUCUCAAUCAUUUGUAUAUACUCUAUUUAAUUAUAAAUAGAAUGUAAUUCAACGUGAUAUGUAAGAAAUAAUCACUGUAAUAAUAAAAUAAAAAAUAGUGUGCGAUUAAUUGACAAGAUAUGAAA